AGCAUCCUGGGUACUCCAGCCAGAGCCCUCCUUUGAAGCCCAGAAGCAAGCUGCUGGCAGGAGCCCGGGGCAGCUCCGGGAUCCAAGGUUCCUGGCGAACAUGGCUCCCCUGAAUCCCAGGGCUCCUGCUGCAGCUGAGAUGCUGCUCAGAAGCAAGCCCCGAAGAAACUCAGAACAAAAUCCAGACGGACAGAAGCAGAGUCAUAUGGCCUCUCAAAGCCAAUGGCUUGCCAGGAAAGAGUCUUAAAACUGCCAGAACCUUGGCAAAGGGCCUUGAGUUCUGCCGGCGGGAACCUGAUCGUUGAAAGGCAGAAUUGAAAUGAGAAGAAAAGAAAUGCAAUUGUCCUAUGAAGAAUGGCACCUGUUGAGAAACAAAAUGGAAAAGUAUAUACAGAAGAAUAAAUAUAGUGGGACCUUG